rnacentral:rRNA from 1 species
AGUAGACGUUCAGAGUUUGAUCCUGGCUCAGAUUGAACGCUGGCGGCAUGCCUUACACAUGCAAGUCGAACGGUAACAGGUCUUCGGACGCUGACGAGUGGCGAACGGGUGAGUAAUACAUCGGAACGUGCCCAGUCGUGGGGGAUAACUACUCGAAAGAGUAGCUAAUACCGCAUACGUCCUACGGGAGAAAGCAGGGGACCUUCGGGCCUUGCGCUAUCAGAUGAGCCUAGGUCGGAUUAGCUAGUUGGUGGGGUAAUGGCUCACCAAGGCGACGAUCCGUAACUGGUCUGAGAGGAUGAUCAGUCACACUGGAACUGAGACACGGUCCAG